CAGUCGCCACGGUAAUACAGAGGAUGCAAGCGCUAUCCGGAAUGACUGGACGUAAAGCGUCUGUAGGUGGCUUUUCAAGUCCGCCGUCAAAUCCCAGGGCUCAACCCUGGACAGGCGGUGGAAACUACCAGGCUGGAGUACGGUAGGGGCAGAGGGAGUUUCCGGUGGAGCGGUGAAAUGCGUUGAGAUCGGAAAGAACACCAACGGCGAAAGCACUCUGCUGGGCCGACACUGACACUGAGAGACGAAAGCUAGGGGAGCAAAUGGGAUUAGAUACCCGCGUAGUCCCUGUCUCUUAUAC
rnacentral:rRNA from 1 species